GCCGGAGUGGUGGAAUGGCAGACACGGGUGACUCAAAAUCACUUGCGGGCAACCGCGUGGGGGUUCGAAUCCCUUCUCCGGCACCC
rnacentral:tRNA from 1 species